AUUGAACGCUGGCGGCAGGCCUAACACAUGCAAGUCGAACGAGUGGCGGACGGGUGAGUAAUGUCUGGGAAACUGCCUGCUGGAGGGGGAUAACUACUGGAAACGGUAGCUAAUACCGCAUACCAUCAGAUCUGCCCAGAUGGGAUUAGCUAGUUGGUGGGGUAACGGCUCACCAAGGCGACGAUCCCUAGCUGGUCUGAGAGGAUGACGAGCCACACGGGAACUGAGACACGGAGCAGACUACGACGGGAGGCAGCAGUGGGGAAUAUUGGACAAUGGGCGCAAGCCUGAAGCAGCCAUGCCGCGUGUAUGAAGAAGGCCUUCGGUUUGUAAAGUACGUUCAGCGGGGAGGCGGUACCCGCAGAAGAAGCACCGGCUAACUCCGUGCCAGCAGCCGCGGUAAUUC
rnacentral:rRNA from 1 species